rnacentral:rRNA from 1 species
AACACCCGUUCCCAUACCGAACACGUAGGUUAAGACUAAAGCGGCCGAUGGUACUUGGCUGGAGACGGCCUGGGAGAGUAGGUGGUUGCCAAAU